GAUGAACGCUGGCGGCGUGCCUAAUACAUGCAAGUCGAGCGAACGGACGAGAAGCUUGCUUCUCUGAUGUUAGCGGCGGACGGGUGAGUAACACGUGGAUAACCUACCUAUAAGACUGGGAUAACUUCGGGAAACCGGAGCUCAUACCGGAUAAUAUUUUGAACCGCAUGGUUCAAAAGUGAAAGACGGUCUUGCUGUCCCUUAUAGAUGGAUCCGCGCUGCAUUAGCUAGUUGGUAAGGUAACGGCUUACCAAGGCAACGAUGCAUAGCCGACCUGAGAGGGUGAUCAGCCACACUGGAACUGAGACACGGUCCAGACUCCUACGGGAGGCAGCAGUAGGGAAUCUUCCGCAAUGGGCGAAAGCCUGACGGAGCAACGCCGCGUGAGUGAUGAAGGUCUUCGGAUCGUAAAACUCUGUUAGUAGGGAAGAACAUAUGUGUAAGUAAAUGUGCACAUCUUGACGGUACCUAAUCAGAAAGCCACGGCUAACUACGUG
rnacentral:rRNA from 1 species